rnacentral:piRNA from 1 species
CUGUGCUUUUUCCACAGAACUGUGCAACC